UACGAGAGGCCCAAACGUUAUUCGGAAUUACUGGGCUUAAAGAGUUCGUAGGCGGCGCAGAAAGUAGGGUGUGAAAGCCCUCGGCUUAACCGAGGAACUGCGCUUGAAACUACCAGACUCGAGGGAGAUAGAGGAAAGCGGAACUGAUGGUGGAGCGGUGAAAUGCGUUGAUAUCAUCAGGAACACCGGUGGCGAAGGCGGCUUUCUGGGUCUUACCUGACGCUGAGGAACGAAAGCUAGGGGAGCGAACGGG
rnacentral:rRNA from 1 species